rnacentral:rRNA from 1 species
UACGUAGGGUGCGAGCGUUGUCCGGAAUUAUUGGGCGUAAAGAGCUCGUAGGCGGUCUGUCGCGUCUGCUGUGAAAACCCGAGGCUCAACCUCGGGCCUGCAGUGGGUACGGGCAGACUAGAGUGCGGUAGGGGAGAAUGGAACUCCUGGUGUAGCGGUGAAAUGCGCAGAUAUCGGGAGGAACACCGGUGGCGAAGGCGGUUCUCUGGGCCGACACUGACACUGAGAGACGAAAGCUAGGGGAGCGAAUGGG